UACGUAGGGUCCGAGCGUUGUCCGGAAUUAUUGGGCGUAAAGAGCUCGUAGGCGGUUUGUCGCGUCUGCUGUGAAAUCCCGAGGCUCAACCUCGGGUCUGCAGUGGGUACGGGCAGACUGGAGUGCGGUAGGGGAGAAUGGAAUUCCUGGUGUAGCGGUGGAAUGCGCAGAUAUCAGGAGGAACACCAAUGGCGAAGGCAGAUCUCUGGGCCGUAACUGACGCUGAGGAGCGAAAGCAUGGGGAGCGAACAGG
rnacentral:rRNA from 1 species